rnacentral:rRNA from 1 species
UACGAAGGGGGCUAGCGUUGCUCGGAAUCACUGGGCGUAAAGCGCACGUAGGCGGAUUGUUAAGUCGGGGGUGAAAUCCCGGAGCUCAACUCCGGAACUGCCUUUGAUACUGGGAAUCUUGAGUCCGGGAGAGGUGAGUGGAACUCCGAGUGUAGAGGUGAAAUUCGUAGAUAUUCGGAAGAACACCAGUGGCGAAGGCGGCUCACUGGCCCGGUACUGACGCUGAGGUGCGAAAGCGUGGGGAGCAAACAGG